UCUGUCCGGGAUCUCUCUCUGUUUCAGGCAGUGUUGUGAAGAAUGUACCAAGGAAGCUGUCGCAAGGCUCUCCAAGCUGAAAGAUGUGGAAUCACCUAAAGUGCUAUUAUCAGUUCUGUGGUGAACGUUUUAAAAAAAGGACAUGAUUCAAAUGGAUCCAUGAAGAAAUAGCAGGAUUCUUCCAGUAGAUGGAAGAAAAAGAGGAGUCACUUAAAAUAAACCUCAAACGAAUUGGGCUGCUUGUUCCAAGCACAUCCAGUAACCAUAGAGGAGAUUGGUGCUUGGCUUGGGAUACAUGGUGAUACACAAAGCGGCAUCAAAUUUUUCUUGGAUUGCUACUGAUGAGUGCAUAAAUCCUGCAGAAAGAUUCUUGACUGCCGUCUGAUGUUUGCAAGAGCAGUGUGAGACCCUGACUGUGUGGAAAAUAAUUUGAAUUCAGUAGUGCUGAUGCUCAAUAAAUAAAUUAUUUGCACUAUGGCAAAAUUAA